rnacentral:sRNA from 2 species
CGCUAUACUAACGGCGCAAUUGCCGGUCCACCGCUUCGGGCCGGCAUUCAUUGUGU